rnacentral:pre_miRNA from 1 species
CUAAGGAGAAGGUUCCAACUUCCCUCAAGGGCUCCCAAUAUUCCAUGUUAAUACUCCGAUAUCAAAAUCAAGUAUGGGAAUGUUGGGGGCUCUUUUGGGACGUUGAAGCCCUUGCUCCUUGG